rnacentral:rRNA from 1 species
CCUACGUGCGGCUGCAGUGGGGAAUAUUGCGCAAUGGGCGAAAGCCUGACGCAGCGACGCCGCGUGAGGGAUGAAGGUCUUCGGAUCGUAAACCUCUGUCAGCAGGGAAGAACGGUCACUGUGCUAAUCAGCAGUGAAUUGACGGUACCUGCAAAGGAAGCACCGGCUAACUCCGUGCCAGCAGCCGCGGUAAUACGGAGGGUGCGAGCGUUAAUCGGAAUUACUGGGCGUAAAGCGCUCGUAGGCGGUAUGUCAAGUCAAGGGUGAAAUCCCCGCGCUCAACGUGGGAACGGCCUUUGAAACGGGCAAACUGGAGUGUGUGAGAGGAUAGUGGAAUUCCAGGUGUAGGAGUGAAAUCCGUAGAUAUCUGGAGGAACAGCAGUGGCGAAGGCGACUAUCUGGCACAUAACUGACGCUGAGGAGCGAAAGCGUGGGUAGCAAACAGGAUUAGAUACCCUUGUAGUC